UCGGGAUAGCUCAGCUGGUAGACCAGAGGACUGAAA
rnacentral:tRNA from 1 species